CCACCAUCUUGGGAGCUCUGGGAGCAAGGACCCCUGGUAACAUUUUGGCGACCACGAAGGGACAUCCAAAGCAGCCAUCGUAGACAAUUUAUCCUAUUACCCCAGAAGCGACUGAGAUGGUGGAAAUUAAUGAUUAGGUAAACACAAGUUUGUGACUUAUAUUAUUGACCUGUCUGAAGGACUCCUUUUAACAUUUCUUAUAGCACAGGAUUCCUAAUAGAUCUAAUAUCGGUCAGUAGUGGAAGAAUAUUCAACUGUACCUAGGAAAAUGCAAGUAACUUCUCCAGUUAGAAAAUGGAACAUUGUCUGCCUUGUGAGUAAAAAAAUGUUGAAUUUCACUCUAGAAAAAAAGAGACAGAGCAGGGAUGAGACAUUUAGAAUGGCAGAGUGAGAACCUCCAGCAGUACACUGAUAAAACCAACAAAAAUAUUGGCAACAAACUGUCAAAGUCAAGAUUUUUGGAACUCUGGAAAUUAACCAAAGUACUAAAACAACAAGAAGAAUGUUUCUUUGAGAAAAUCUGAGAACUUUAACAAGAACAUCAGGACAGGAUUAAUAGUCAUAUAACAUGACCUACUCCAUUGCUUUCUUCCUACCUCUGCAGUGGCCUUGAAAUCUGGCAAAGUCACAAUCACAGUAACUCAGAAAACAGCCUUUUAGCUACAGCUAAGGGCAAACCAUAUUUGGAGUUUUUCAAAAACGUCCCAAAGCUAGAGCUGGUUCACUCUUUGACUUGCCUGUUACCUCCCUAGAGAAGCACUGGUUGCAGGAUGUUGCCAUUAUUUGAUCUAACUCAGAGCUCACAUCAAGAGAGAAGCCCUGUCUCUAGGGCAUUUUUUGAAAACAAUCAAUGAAAACUCUUUUCACAUCACAAUUGCCUAAAGUUCUGACAUAUGUUGGGUCAAAAAAGGAGAUGGACAAAACUUUAAAAGGAAAAUCUGGGAAAAGAGAUAUCCACAUGGAUUUUUGAAAAGCUCUAGAAGACCUUGUAAGGGCAAAGGUGUGCUCACUCCCCAAAAUAACUGAAAUAGCCACAGACUCUCACCUC